rnacentral:lncRNA from 1 species
ACACUGGACAGCGUCCACGCCUUCCAAAACGACAUCCAUACCCAUUGACCGAAUAAAAAGUAAAUUUGAACUUGUGGGUCUGUAAUUAGAGCCAUUUUAAAAUCGAAAUGUCACUUUUUUAGGCAAAUUCUCGUGCGGCAACUGAUUUUUUAGGAGUUCAACUCCACGUACAACAGUAAAUGAUACAUGUAUCUGUUCGUUAAAGUAUUCACCAC